ACGCCCCCGAGACCAACCAUUUCCGACGCAAAACCCCCCCAAGACUCCGUGACACCCGCAGCAGUGUCUCGCUCGUGACGCACCCGGAGCGGAGAAGAGCAGAACCGUGAGCAGAGGCAUGGACGCCGCGGCGGAGCUGGAGCUGGAGCUGGAGCUGGAGCAGAAGCCGGCGGUGGGGUACUGGGGCGUGGUUGGCGCGCGGCCCUGCGACGCGUGCGCGGCGGAGCCGGCGCGGCUGCACUGCCGCGCGGACGGUGCGUUCCUGUGCCCCGGGUGCGACGCCCGCGCGCACGGCGCCGGGUCGCGCCACGCGCGCGUCUGGCUCUGCGAGGUCUGCGAGCACGCCCCCGCCGCCGUCACGUGCCGCGCCGACGCCGCCGCGCUCUGCGCCGCCUGCGACGCCGACAUCCACUCGGCGAACCCGCUCGCGCGCCGACACGAGCGGGUCCCCGUCGCGCCCUUCUUCGGCGCGCUCGCCGACGCGCCGCAGCCGUUCCCGUCCCCGGCCUUCGCCGCCGCGGCCGCCGCGGGGGCCCAUGCACAGGGGGAGGUGGGGGCGGACGACGACGGGAGCAACGAGGCCGAGGCCGCCUCCUGGCUCCUCCCCGAGCCCGACAACAGCCACGAGGACAGCGCCGCCGCCACCGAUGCGUUCUUCGCGGACUCCGACGGGUACCUCGGCGUCGACCUGGACUUCGCCCGGUCCAUGGACGGCAUCAAGGCCAUCGGCGUGCCGGUCGCGCCGCCCGAGCUGGACAUCGCCGCCGGCGGCUUCUUCUACCCCGACCACUCCAUGAACCACAGCGUAAGCCUCGCGGCUGUGCUAUGAUUUCUAGAUCCUCAGCAAACACCGCGAAAUGGUUCAAUUCGAGAUUCGUCCUCCCAAAAAAGUGGCUUCUUUGAGUGGACUUGGGGAUAAUGUGGACGCCUUCAACCGCUUAUUGCAGGUCUCGUCGUCGGAGGUGGCGGUUGUGCCGGACGCGCUGGCGGCGGGCGGGCCGGCGGUGCCGGUGGUGAGCAGGGGGAAGGAGCGGGAGGCGCGUCUGAUGCGGUACCGUGAGAAGCGCAAGAACCGGCGGUUCGACAAGACCAUCCGGUACGCGUCCCGCAAGGCCUACGCCGAGACGCGGCCGCGCAUCAAGGGCCGCUUCGCCAAGCGCUGCUCCGCGGAGGCCGAGGACGAGGCGCUGGAGCACGAGGAGGGGGCGUGCUUCUCCCCCGCGGUGUCGGCGCCCGCGGCGUCCGACGGCGUCGUCCCGUCCUUCUGCUGAGGGAGAGACGGACGGCGACCCGGCGGCGGCCGCCCCGACCCCUCUCUUCCGCUCCCCGGCGACGACCUCGCUAAUUUUGCCGACUCUGAAUGGAUCUGAACGCAUGCGACGCGCGCGCUCCGUGUAGCAUGAAUAAUUGUACAGUAGUUCGAUGCACUGCACGAACUCAAUCGCAUUCGCACGGAACGCAUGCAAUCCUCCUCACCGUCUCUGUAAUCCAGCCUUGU
rnacentral:lncRNA from 1 species